UACGUAGGUGGCAAGCGUUGUCCGGAUUUAUUGGGUUUAAAGGGUGCGUAGGCGGCCUUGUAAGUCAGCGGUGAAAACUAACAGCUUAACUGUUAGACUGCCAUUGAUACUGCAGGGCUUGAAUCCAAACGAGGUUGGCGGAAUUGAAGGUGUAGCGGUGAAAUGCAUAGAUAUCUUCAAGAACACCGAUAGCGAAGGCAGCUAACUAGAAUGGUAUUGACGCUGAGGCACGAAAGCGUGGGGAGCAAACAGG
rnacentral:rRNA from 1 species